rnacentral:rRNA from 1 species
CCUACGGGAGGCAGCAGUGAGGAAUAUUGGGCAAUGGAGGCAACUCUGACCCAGCCAUGCCGCGUGAGUGAAGAAGGUUUUCGGAUUGUAAAGCUCUUUCGGCUGUGACGAUGAUGACGGUAGCAUCUAAAGAAGCCCCGGCUAACUUCGUGCCAGCAGCCGCGGUAAUACGAAGGGGGCCAGCGUUGUUCGGAAUUACUGGGCGUAAGGGGAUUGUAGGCGGUUUAGUAAGAUAGUGGUGAAAUCCCAGAGCUUAACUUUGGAAUUGCCAUUAUAACUAUUAGACUAGAAUUACAGAGAGGAUAGAGGAAUACCCAGUGUAGAGGUGAAAUGCGUAGAUAUUGGGUAGAACACCAGUGGCGAAGGCGACUAUCUGGCUGUACAUUGACGCUGAGGCUCGAAAGCAUGGGGAUCAAACAGGAUUAGAUACCCUGGUAGUC